rnacentral:rRNA from 1 species
CGGUACGUACUGGCAUUGUUGGUUUCUCCCUUCUGACGAACCAUGAUGUCAUUUAUUUGGUGUUGUGGGGAAUCAGGACUGUUACUUUGAAAAAAUUAGAGUGUUUAAAGCAGGCUCACGCUUGAAUACAUUAGCAUGGAAUAAUGAAAUAGGACGUUUGAUUCUAUUUUGUUGGUUUCUAGGAUCGACGUAAUGAUUAAUAGGGAUAGUUGGGGGCAUUAGUAUUCAAUUGUCAGAGGUGGAAUUCUUGGAUUUAUUGAAGACUAACUACUGCGAAAGCAUUUGCCAAGGAUGUUUUCAUUAAUCAAGAACGAAAGUUAGGGGAUCGAAGACGAUCAGAUACCGUCGUAGUCUUAACCAUAAACUAUGCCGACUAGGGAUCGGAUGAUGUUAAUUUUUUAAUGACUCAUUCGGCGCCUUACG